GUUUUGGCUCAUCUUCUCUUGAUGUAGAGUGUGGAUUGUGGGAUUAUUUAUUCUAAUAUGUCAGCCGCUCUAAACUAUGUUUCGUCUAUUACUUUUUCUGGCUUGCAGCUCAGGAAGUAGAGCGGGUCAUUUAUCAAUCAGAAGGUUGGUGGUUCGAUCCCUGGCUGCUCCGGUCUGCAUGCCAAAUGUCACGGCUGGGGCAGCAGUCGUGUGGUGGAAUGGAAGGAGGACCCAAAAUGCAGGCAGCCGACUGAUGAUAUGAGUGAGUUUAUUUACACAGUGGCAGGGUGACAAAAACGGGCAAUAAAGUAUGAGCAGUUACUGAAGCAGACCUAAACUGGGAUAAACUAAAGAGCAAACCUGAAGUAAUACGAAACGGAGAAUGCAGAGAGACGCAGAGGUACACAGAAGAACGCAGACUACACAGACGAGCCGACAACAGGCACAGACUGACACCCACUAUAUAUACACAGCCGCAAACAAGGAGACCAGGUAAUGACAUACAGGUGGGAGCACAGCUGAUUCUAAUACACAAGACGACCUGAGUACGGUGUACAUUUUAGGACAUCGUCAGGUCUCAGGAAAAAAGUUGUCAGGUAUCAGUCUCACACGAAAAAGUUGUCAGGUCUCAGGAAAAAAGUUGUCAGGUAUCAGUCUCACAUGAAAAAAUGUCAGGUCUCAGACUCACACGAAAAAAUGUCAGGUCUCAGACUCACACGAAAAAAUGUCAGGUCUCAGAAUCACACGAAAAAAUGUCAGGUCUCAGACUCACACGAAAAAAUGUCAGGUCUCAGAAUCACACGAAAAAAUGUCAGGUCUCAGACUCAGACGGAAAAAUGUCAGGUCUCAGACUCACACGAAAAAAUGUCAGGUCUCAGAAUCACACGAAAAAAUGUCAGGUCUCAGACUCACACGAAAAAAUGUCAGGUCUCAGAAUCACACGAAAAAAUGUCAGGUCUCAGAAUCACACGAAACAAUGUCGUGUGAUUCUGAGACCUGACAUUUUUUCGUGUGAGUCUGAGACCUGACAAUUUUUCAUGUGAGACUGAUACCUGACAACUUUUUUCCUGAUACCUGACAACUUUUUUCCUGAGACCUGACAAUUUUUCGUGUGAGACUGAUACCUGACAACUUUUUUCCUGAGACCUGACGAUGUCCUAAAAUGUACACCGUACCUGAGGAUACAAGCUGAACAUGAACAGGGCACAAGGGGAGGAUACAGAAUACCAAAAUCCGAAUAACCAGAACAGAGGAAAAUAAUCAUACAACACAAAACGCUGGGUCAACGACCCAGGACCAUGACACCAAAUAUCCCUGGACAGGAUACCAACUCUCCGAUCCAUCCAUCGGAGUAUGAAUGUGUGUGAAUGUUAGAUAUAAAGCACUUACGUAGAAAAAGCAUAGAAAAAAAGUACUCAUGUGAAUGAGUGAAAGAAGCAAAUUGUAUAAAGCACUUUGACUGCUCAGAGUAGAAUAUCGCUAUAUAAUAAUCAGUCCAUUUACCAUAUAUGAUGUAUGAUUGACUUGGACAGCAGUGGAGUCAUCAUGACAUGAACACCAAAAUCUUUCAGAAACUUACAGAACUGACUUGAUGGCUAGAUGAUCCCUAUCUAGUUGUUAGUAAGUAACAGUAUAUUUAGAUUUGAACAACAAUAAUAAGGUAACAGAAAUCAAAACUAAAAGGUUAUGGCUUAAAUUUAAAGGAAACAAACAUGUUUGUUUACAUGGCUUCUCAGAGGACUCUUGUGUUA
ensembl:lncRNA